UCGAAUUGUUCCUCAUGCAGCUCUGCAUUAUAUGGCAUACGUCUGAUAUAUUAUUCAAUUUUUUGUUGGUUCUCAUAGUCUUCUAAUUGUUGUUUGUUUUCUAUGUGGUUUCACUGGAAUUUUGGAUGUUGUUUUCAGAAACACCCGAUGUUAAUACAGGAGAUAUGGAUUUCUCGCAACUCGGCGGCAUGGGUGGAAUGGGAGGCAUGGGAGGAAUGGGAGGUAUGGGUGGAAUGGGCGGCAUGGACAUGGCCAGCUUGAUGCAAGGGAUGGGUGGCAUGGAUAUGUCCGGCAUGGGUGACAUGGAUUGCUGCGGAAUAUAGUGGUGUUGAUGUUGAAGUGGUCAAGGAUUUUGCAUUUGGUGUCACGAAUAAGACUCCUGAGUUUCUUAAGAUGAACCCAAUCAGAAAGAUUCCUGUUCGUGAAACUCGAGAAGGACCUGUUUUUGAGAGUAAUGCCAUAGCACGUUUUGAUGAGGCUCCACUCUUUUUUAAACACCUGAGGGAUGAUUGUUUUGCAAACAAGUAUGCAACUUAUUAGUUUAUUUUCUUUUCUUUGCUCGCUUGAAGGAAGGCAACCCUCUCCUUGGUUCGUCCUUGAUUGAAUAUGGUCAUGUUGAGCAAUGGAUUGAUUUUUCGUCUUUGGAGGUUGAUUCUAAUUUGUCGCGCAUGAAUUACACAAGGCUUUCUGGCAGGUUCAUUUGCUGGUGGAACCGCAGUUCUUUUCACUUGCCCACUUGAUUUAGUACGAACAAAAUUAGCCUAUCAGGAACGUUUAAGGAAGGCAGUCGCAGCAAAGAAAGCCUGCACCUGCAGCGAAAAAGAAAGAAGAGUCCAGUGAUGAUAGCUCUGAUGAGAGUGAUUCCAAGGAUCUUAAUGUUUUAAUGUAAAAAUCUGAUUAGGUAUUUUUAUUCAAUUAAACAUGAAGUGAGAGGGAUAGUAUUGAAACUUUUGUUGACAUGUAUUUGAAGAGAGGCUUCUGAGGUUUAAAACCUAACUUUGUUCACUGCCAUUUUUUGAAUGUGUGUGUUUAACACUGGCAGGUUAACUUGAGUGAAUGUAAAUGUGUUACACUGGCAGGUUAAUGUCAAAGUGAAUUACUUUCCGAAA